rnacentral:rRNA from 1 species
GACGAACGCUGGCGGCGUGCCUAAUACAUGCAAGUCGAGCGGACGGAUGGGAGCUUGCUCCCAGACCGUCAGCGGCGGACGGGUGAGUAACACGUGGGCAACCCGCCUGUAAGACUGGGAUAACUCCGGGAAACCGGGGCUAAUACCGGAUAACUCUUUCCCUCACAUGAGGGAAAGCUGAAAGAUGGCAUCUCGCUAUCACUUACAGAUGGGCCCGCGGCGCAUUAGCUAGUUGGUGAGGUAACGGCUCACCAAGGCGACGAUGCGUAGCCGACCUGAGAGGGUGAUCGGCCACACUGGGACUGAGACACGGCCCAGACUCCUACGGGAGGCAGCAGUAGGGAAUCUUCCGCAAUGGACGAAAGCCUGACGGAGCAACGCCGCGUGAGUGAUGAAGGUUUUCGGAUCGUAAAACUCUGUUGUCAGGGAAGAACAAGUACCGGAGUAACUGCCGGUACCUUGACGGUACCUGACCAGAAAGCCACGGCUAACUACGUG